UCAUAUUCAUUCUCUUGGCCCCAGAUCGUUUACCGUGAAAGAAAUUAGAGUGUUCAAAGCAGGCAGAUUCAAUUUUCUGCCACCGAAUACAUUAGCAUGGGAUAAUGGAAUAGGACCCUGUCCUCCUCUUUUCAGUUGGUUAAUUUAUGUGCGAGGAUCAGGGUAAUGAUUAAUAGGGAUAGUUGGGGGCAUUAAUAUUUAAUUGUCCAGAGGUGAAAUUCUUGGAUUUAUGAAAGAUUAACUUCUGCGAAAGCAUCUCGCCAAGGAUCGUUUUCAUUAAUCAAGAACGAAAGUUAGGGGAUCGAAGACGAUCAGAUACCGUCGUAGUCUUAACCAUAAACGAUGCCGACCAGCGAUUAGGAGACGUUGAAUACAAAACACCGCCUAAAGAUAAUUCAUUAUAUGGCUUCACGGCUGCUAGUACGNGCUCUCNNCNUAUACGUUACCUGNGC
rnacentral:rRNA from 1 species